GGAGGGUAAGCUUAGUGGUAGAGCGCAUGCUUAGCAUGCAGGAGGUCAUGGGUUUGAUCCCCACUGCCUCCA
rnacentral:tRNA from 1 species